GCAAGUCGAGGGGCAGCAUUGGAGUAGCAAUACUCAGAUGGCGACCGGCGCACGGGUGAGUACACGUAUCCAACCUGCCGCUUACUCGGGGAUAGCCUUUCGAAAGAAAGAUUAAUACCCGAUGGUAUAAAGAGUUCGCAUGUUCUCUUUAUUAAAGAAUUUCGGUAAGCGAUGGGGAUGCGUUCCAUUAGAUAGUUGGCGGGGUAACGGCCCACCAAGUCUACGAUGGAUAGGGGUUCUGAGAGGAAGGUCCCCCACAUUGGAACUGAGACACGGUCCAAACUCCUACGGGAGGCAGCAGUGAGGAAUAUUGGUCAAUGGACGAGAGUCUGAACCAGCCAAAGUAGCGUGAAGGAUGACUGCCCUAUGGGUUGUAAACUUCUUUUAUAAGGGAAUAAAGUGAGGGACGUGUCCCUUUUUGUAUGUACCUUAUGAAUAAGGAUCGGCUAACUCCGUGCCAGCCGCCGC
rnacentral:rRNA from 1 species